AGAGUUUGAUCAUGGCUCAGAUUGAACGCUGGCGGCAGGCCUAACACAUGCAAGUCGAACGGUAACAGGAAGCAGCUUGCUGCUUUGCUGACGAGUGGCGGACGGGUGAGUAAUGUCUGGGAAACUGCCUGAUGGAGGGGGAUAACUACUGGAAACGGUAGCUAAUACCGCAUAACGUCGCAAGACCAAAGAGGGGGACCUUAGGGCCUCUUGCCAUCGGAUGUGCCCAGAUGGGAUUAGCUAGUAGGUGGGGUAACGGCUCACCUAGGCGACGAUCCCUAGCUGGUCUGAGAGGAUGACCAGCCACACUGGAACUGAGACACGGUCCAGACUCCUACGGGAGGCAGCAGUGGGGAAUAUUGCACAAUGGGCGCAAGCCUGAUGCAGCCAUGCCGCGUGUAUGAAGAAGGCCUUCGGGUUGUAAAGUACUUUCAGCGGGGAGGAAGGGAGUAAAGUUAAUACCUUUGCUCAUUGACGUUACCCGCAGAAGAAGCACCGGCUAACUCCGUGCCAGCAGCCGCGGUAAUACGGAGGGUGCAAGCGUUAAUCGGAAUUACUGGGCGUAAAGCGCACGCAGGCGGUUUGUUAAGUCAGAUGUGAAAUCCCCGGGCUCAACCUGGGAACUGCAUCUGAUACUGGCAAGCUUGAGUCUCGUAGAGGGGGGUAGAAUUCCAGGUGUAGCGGUGAAAUGCGUAGAGAUCUGGAGGAAUACCGGUGGCGAAGGCGGCCCCCUGGACGAAGACUGACGCUCAGGUGCGAAAGCGUGGGGAGCAAACAGGAUUAGAUACCCUGGUAGUCCACGCCGUAAACGAUGUCGACUUGGAGGUUGUGCCCUUGAGGCGUGGCUUCCGGAGCUAACGCGUUAAGUCGACCGCCUGGGGAGUACGGCCGCAAGGUUAAAACUCAAAUGAAUUGACGGGGGCCCGCACAAGCGGUGGAGCAUGUGGUUUAAUUCGAUGCAACGCGAAGAACCUUACCUGGUCUUGACAUCCACGGAAGUUUUCAGAGAUGAGAAUGUGCCUUCGGGAACCGUGAGACAGGUGCUGCAUGGCUGUCGUCAGCUCGUGUUGUGAAAUGUUGGGUUAAGUCCCGCAACGAGCGCAACCCUUAUCCUUUGUUGCCAGCGGUCCGGCCGGGAACUCAAAGGAGACUGCCAGUGAUAAACUGGAGGAAGGUGGGGAUGACGUCAAGUCAUCAUGGCCCUUACGACCAGGGCUACACACGUGCUACAAUGGCGCAUACAAAGAGAAGCGACCUCGCGAGAGCAAGCGGACCUCAUAAAGUGCGUCGUAGUCCGGAUUGGAGUCUGCAACUCGACUCCAUGAAGUCGGAAUCGCUAGUAAUCGUGGAUCAGAAUGCCAUGGUGAAUACGUUCCCGGGCCUUGUACACACCGCCCGUCACACCAUGGGAGUGGGUUGCAAAAGAAGUAGGUAGCUUAACCUUCGGGAGGGCGCUUACCACUUUGUGAUUCAUGACUGGGGUGAAGUCGUAACAAGGUAACCGUAGGGGAACCUGCGGUUGGAUCACCU
rnacentral:rRNA from 1 species